GAGUAGAGAUAAGCUCUCAGCGGCGAAAGCAAAACGCAUACUUUGUUAUUAUUGCGGUAAAUUUUUUCGCGAUAAAAAUUUGUAUAAUUUUGCAUAAACGUUGCCUUAUUAUUAUUUUCUGAUUUAAAAUUUUUCAACUUCUUAGUUUGCACCGGAUAUAACAUUAGUUCAUAUAAAAUUGUAUUGUUUAUAUAUUUACUUAUACUUAUACACAAGGUGGUUCAUAACAGGCGUUUAUUAUUCACGCAUCGUGAAUAUACUUAAGUUCGUUGAUAUAUAUACAUAUAUACAUAUAUACAUAUGUAUAUACUGAAAUAUGGGAAUAAUUUGGCUUUAGCUGUGCUUAAACAUGAAAUUCCAAAUUAGAUCGUUUUUAACAUUCAUUAUUUGCAGACGUGUCUAGUCGCAGCAAUAUACAUACAUUUGUUGUUAUACAUAUAUACACUUUCAUUAAAUAUAUAAGUCGUUUGAUUUUUUCUACUCACAGCUGGCAAAAAACAGCUCGGUAACUCAACAGCUGGUGACCUCGAAGUGAUCGCAGUGUGGAUUUACUUGCGAAAAAGUAAAAAAAACUAUUUUCGGGAUGUAACGACGAAUGUGGCCGAUUCUGUUUAAAUGAUGUGACUCCUUACCGCUCAACUGACCAUUCGUGCUACAUGGCGUAUGAGUAACAUCCUUUUCAAAUGAUUAUUUAAUGAAAAAACUUUUGUUGACAAGUAUUGCAAUAUUUUAACAUUUUCCUUAACAAAAAGUACUAUUUGACAAACAAAACUCUAAUGUGAAAUUGAAAAAUUCAUACCGAAAUGCUCCUCGCAA